UGCUGGGCAAUCUUGUAUUCUCAUCGAGGUUAUCUUAUUUAAAGUAUGUACCAGUUUAAAACUGGGGCUUUGUAAAAAUAAAAUUUACUCUCAGCAAUGUUUAUAAAUCAGAACAAUUAAUUUAUGUACAAAUGUAUGGCAGGAUUUGUUUUCACAAAAGACAUUAAACUUGUAUGUGCGUCAUAAAAAAUAAAAUGUACUUGCAAAUAAAGAAGGCAGCCACGAAAAACACACCUAAUCCUUUUCUUUGUAUUUAAACAACUCCAAAAUAAAUAUGUUUUUUUAAGAAUGAAGUAAUAAUUAUGAUAAUCACAAAGUUUUUUAUAUUUAUGUUUAAGAAUUAAAAUAAAUUUUAUUAGGUUUUUGCUGUCUA